AUGUGAUGAGAAAUAAACUGAAUAUAGCUGGAAUUACCGUCAGAUUGGCCAGUGGUGAUUAACAGUUUUCUGACG